rnacentral:rRNA from 1 species
GGUCUGAUGUUCCUACUCCAUUAGGUGAAUGACUUGGCUCAAGUGCUGAUGAAGGGCGUGGCAAGCUGCGAUAAGUUCCAGUGAAGUGCACGCAACUUUUGAGCUGGAAAUCCCUGAAUGAGACUUCUCAUUAGAUCUGAAAAGAUAGGGAACCCAGGGAAUUGAAACAUCUUAGUACCUGGAGGAAAAGAAAUUAAUAAAGAUGUCGUGAGUAUCAGCGAGAAAAAACGACAUAGAGCAAACUGAAUCUUUUUUAGAAAUAAAAAAGAAAUGUAGUGUAAUAGGACCUUACUUAUGAUCUGAGUUAGAUUUAGUCAAAGUUCUUUGGAAAAAGAUACCUAAGAGGGUGAUAGUCCCGUAGAUUAAACUAACAGACUUAUAAGGUAUCCUGAGUAGCGCUCAUUGGAUAUUGGGCGUGAAUUUGGGAGAUAUUAACUUCCAACUCUAAAUACUACUUGAGACCGAUAGCAAAAAGUACUGCGAAGGAAAGUUGAAAAGAACCUUUAACAUGGAGUGAAAAGAACCUGAAACCUAAUGGAUACAGAAUGAUACUAUUCUUCGGAAUUGUAUCGUGCGUUUCGAAUAACGAGCCAGGGAGUGCAUUUAAGUGGCGAGAGUAAAAAUUUUACAAUUUGUACUCGCAAGGAAACUAAAAAUCUGCAUUUCACGAAAGAGAUUAGGUAUGAAAGUGCCUAGAGUCACUUGAAUGCGACCUGAAUCCAGUCGAUCUAUCCCAGAGUAAGGUGAAGCAGGGGUAAAACCUUGUGGAGGCCUGAAGCAGUUCUAGUGUAAAUCUGUUUGUAUAACUUUGGAUUAGGGGUGAAAAGCCAAUCGAGACUGGUUAUAGCUGGUUCCUGUCGAAAUAGGCCUUAGUCUAGUCUUGAAUGAGGUAGUUGGAAUUGUAGAGCUACGGAUUUAGGAGCAAGGGGAAGAAAUUCCUCCCUUCUUUGUCCAACUCCGAAUGUUCUAACAUCAUAGAAUUCAGGAAAAAGCGGCGUGGGAUAAGCUCAUGUUGCAAGAGGGGAACAACCCAGACUAUAGUUAAGGUCCCUAAAUACUGGUUAAGUGUCAAAGGGUAAAAGGUGUAUAUAACCAGAGACAUGAGGGAGGUAUGCUUAGAAGCAGCAAUCCUUUAAAGAAAGCGUAAUAGCUCACCUUUCAAGGUUAUACGCCCUGAAGAUGGACGGGGCUAAAUCAGUUACCGAUACUAUAGACUAGUUUAAAAAACUAAGUGGUAGGCAGGCGCUUUAUUAGGGUAGAAGCUUUUUCAAAAGAAAAAGUGGACCUAAUAAAAUUGAGAAUCCUGGUAGUAGUAGGAGCAAUAUAGGGUAAGACUCCCUAAUAUCUGAAGAGUAAGGGUUUCUUAGCAAUGCAAAUCAGCUAAGAGUAAGUUAAUCCUAACCAAAGGCCUAACAGGUCUUCGGGAAUGGGAAAAAGGUUAAUAUUCCUUUACUGUUUAAGUACAUGUGGCAACACAAAUUUAAUUUCAGACGCUUUGGGCUAAAUCAAUAUCUAUUGUCGUAGAUAUUAAUUAGAGCAAAUCAAGGAAGUACUGUAAUGGUGAGAACUUGAUUAAUUCUAAGAAUAGUAGGCCUUAUGGUUUAUUUGAUUGAUGCCUUGAGCCCGUGAAAAUGAAAUUAAUUGAAUCUUGAACAAUUAUACCCAGAACCAACACAGGUACUCUAGGUGAGAAGCCUAAGAUAAGAUGGUCUAAACUAACUAAGGGAAAUCGGCAAUUUAGUUCCGUAUCUUUGGUAGAAGGAAUCCCUGCGGUUGUGGUCUUAUGAUUGCAAUUACAGGGCUCAGUAACAAGGCGGGUCCGACUGUUUAACAAAAACGCAACGUCUCGCAAGACAGCAAUGUUGUGUAUGAGACGUGACGUCUGCCCAGUGCAAGUAUCUCAAACCUCUUUUCAAGGAGGCUAAGGACUUGUAAACGGCGGGAAUAUUUGUUGUAAGGCGGUAAAGGGAGUACUUAGUUCAAUAUAUAUUGAGUAUUGAGGCUGAAAGUAAAAGGAAAUUUUUGGAAAAUAUUCCUGUUGAACAUCCAGUACUCCUGAAAAACCUUUAACAAUUCUAGACUAUAAUUCUCUUAAGGUAGCGAAAUUAUCAUUAAUCUCGCUUUAGAUUUAAGAUGAAAAAAAGCCAUUCAUCUAAGAGAAUAGCCUUUGGGUUUGUUAAACAAAUGAGAGAAAAAUUUUAGCAAUGGGAUUAAUGAUAUCGUUGUACCUUGUCGUUUGAAUGACGACGCGCAUGAAUGGCGUAACGAGAUCCGCACUGUCCCUAGUUAGUGUCCACUGAAAAUACCCUUCUGGUGUGCAGGCCAGAGACCUCCAGCGGGAAGAAAAGACCCCGUAGAACUUUACUGUAGUUUGUUGUUGUGAUAUAGAUUCUACUGUGUAGCAUAGGUGGUAGUUGCUAUGCCUUGGCUGCUAGGUCAAGGAUAGACAAAACUGAAAUACCACUCUGCAGAAUUUAUGUUGCUUACUAACCUGUUAGGACAGCAGCAGAUAGACAGUUUGGCUGGGGCGGCACCCUGUUGAAAAGAUAUCAACAGGGCCCAAAGGUCAACUCAAGAUGUUUGGAAAUCAUCUGAAGAGUGCAAGAGCAAAAGUUGGCUUGACUGGAUUUUGACCAUUAAAAAAUCCAGAGACAAAAGUCUGGUCUAGCGAACCCCUAUGUCCUUAUUAAUAGGGGCUAGGUAUGACAGAAAAGCUAUCUCGGGGAUAAUCUAGGAGAAACAUCAAAAGAUUAUAUACAACUAUCACCGAGUAUUAAAUAUGAAUAAAAAAUUUGCAUAUUUAAUCGGUGUGUUGCAUGAUGCACAUAUUAUCAACAAGAAAUCAAAUUCCCAAUAUGGUUUUGAAAUUGAGCAAAAAAAUAAAAAAUACGCUGAAUUUUUGUCAACUUUCUUUUCACAGUUAUUCAAAAUUGAAAAACCAAAGUUAGAAUUACGUGAAAGAAGUUGGGGAAAUUAUUGGCGUAUUAGAAUUUAUUCAAAGAAAAUAUUUGAAGAAAUUGUUCAAUAUGACUUUACAAAAAUAAUUAAGUCGCAAUCAAAACAAAUUAAAAAGGAAAUGAUUCGAGGAUUUUAUGAUGCUGAAGGAUCAGUAAGCAGUGAUGAAGUAAGAAUGUUUAAUAAAAAUACAAAACUCUUAGAAACUUUGCAUGAUAUUUUAUCUACUGAGUUUAAUUUAAGACUUGGAAAGAUAGUUGUAUCAAAGGAUGAUGUUUAUCAGCUUCCAAUUUAUGCGAAAAAUGAUAAAAACAAGUUUAUGAAAAUUUUCAAACCAAUUCAUCCUGAUAAGUUUAAGAUUUUCUCUUAGAUCCCUAGAACUGAGUCGUAGCGCCUAAGAGCUCAUAUCGAUGGCGCUGUUUGCUACUUCGACGUCGGCUCACCAUAUCCUGGCUGUGCAGAAUGUCGCAGGCAAAAUUAACUCAAUAGUUUUUCUAACCAAAAAAUUCUAAGUCUUUUCUUCAAAUUCUGUUAGUCAGAAGAAUUAAAAAUCUUCAAAAAGAAAAGACUAGUUAGAACUAUAAUAAUUUCAUAUUCAUUUUUAGAAAUUAUUGAGAAAAAUUUUGUCCUUCGAACUGUAGGCAGCCAAGGGUGGGGGUGUUCACCCAUUAAAAUGGUUCGUGAGCUGGGUUAAGGAACGGUUGUAAGCAAAUGUAUAAGCAAACUAAAACAUCUCUGUAUAUUUGCUGAAGUGAGGUUUAAGUCCUCCCGUUUAAUAUAACGUUGUGAGACAGUUUGGAUUAUAUCUACUGGAGGUGCAUAAUAUCUGAGGGUAAGGAUCAUUUAGUACGAGAGGAACGGUGAUUCGGAGCCUCUGGUCUAUCGGUUGUCUGACAAGGCAGGCCGAGCAGCUACGCUCUAAUGGAUAACUCCUGAAAGCAUCUAAGGAGGAAGCCAAACUCAAAACGAGAUAUAGGACGCUCAAAGAACAUGAGCUUGAUAGGACUGAAGUGUAAGUAUGAAGCUUCGGCGACAUAUUCAGCUUGCAGUUACUAAUCGUCCAAAACCAUCAAACU